AUGUACAGUACUGACAUGGAUGAUUACUGGGAGGAUCUUGGUCAGAAGUGCUGGGGAGAAGAUGGGGACAGCUCUGAUGAGCUAUUUUACAUACAGCCUCAUCUAAAACCUUCCACAUCAACCAACUCCAUGAAAUAAGCAUGGAUGAAGCCGUGCUUGAUGUGUCAAUGCCCCGUCCUUCAGACGAGGACAUGCAAGUCAUUCCCGACCAACAAAAAGUUCUUUGUGAGAGUGACUUGGUUGGGAAAAGGGCGAGCAUCACUUAUGACGACGAUCAGCAUUAACUCACCAUGUUCCUGCAGCUACCAAUGCAAAUGGACAAUUACUCAAACACAGUGACCAGGGCGGCAUGCCCUGGUAAUCCUCCAUUUCAGGCCACUCUGCACAGUACUGCACAUACACAACCACAGAACAGGAUUCAAGAGACAUUGUGCAUAUUGUGACCGUUGACAAGCAGAAAUUCCAUCAUUAUGGAGAAGGAGUGCUUCAUUAGGAACCUGGACGUACUCCCUCAGGAAAUUCUUGUGAAAGAAGUGGUCACCAAUGCCCAUGCACAGAUAAUGGCAUUGCUUAGUAAAUAUUUUUCGGAUUCCUGAUUUUGUCUUGGCAGUUGUUUGGAUCUGUAACAAACAGUAUAGCAUUACAGUCAGAGUGUGGCAUUCGACAAAGUAUUUGGGCAAAAAGCUAUGACAGGUAUGCCAUUUCCCAAACUUAUUUUACUUGCUCAACCAAGGUUAAUUGUAGUCUCUAACCUGUUUUGGUAAAGAUUGGAUUUUCACAUGUCAACACCUCACUGAAAAAAAAACAAGAACUUUAUUUAGUGGCUUAUUUAAAACUAAUGUUAUUUAGUGGCAACAUGUUUAAGAUGAGGAGAUUCACACCUGAUGGGGAUCAUUUUUAGUUGAGACACUAACUGUCCAUGUUUCGCCAGCUCUUUCUCCAAAAGCUCAUUUCUCAGGAACUGGGGCACAUUAGAAAUAAUGACCUGGCAGGAUUUACUAGUGAUGACACGGGGUGAAAGUAUCUUUAAUCACUACUCUGCUCUCAAGCAACUAAUUCACUUUUUCUGUACUGUCUAGAAAAAUCACAUUAGUACUGUUCAUUUUAGAUACAGAUUCCAUAGCCAACAGCCUCACCUACAGCUAGACUACACUCUUCAACCGAACACUCAACAGCCAAAGAAAGUUUUUAAUGGUGUGUUGACGUGUUAGUUUGUGUAAGCCAGAGCUCCCACCUGCAGCCAUGCUGGCCAGUCACACCAGCAGCCACCGCUGCCGCCUCCACAAACGAGUAGAAAAACAAGCAAGAAGAGCCGACACACGCCGACACACUGUCAGCAGCACUCACUACGCUUACUACCAGCAUGCAUUCAAAGAGAGAGAGAGAGAGAGAGUAGGGAUAAAGAGAACAUAGUACAAUACAAG